rnacentral:lncRNA from 1 species
CUUAAAAUGUCACCUGAUGUUAGUUGUCCCUCACUGAUUCAAGUAAUUUCCUUUAUUGAGGUGGAUCUGCCUGUUGGUGGAGAACCCUAGACUGCAUGCAGCCAUGCACAUGAUCUGGAGACACAGCAGAGACAAGGUCUUUGUCUGUUGCUCAGGAUGGAGUGUAGUGGUGCCAUAGCACACUGUAAUCUUGAAUUUCUGGACUACUGGCAUACACCACCAUGCUUAGGUUCGGGCCACAACAUCCGUGACUUUACCGGUUUUGGUCUCUUCCUUGUAACUUUCGGCUCCAGGAUGCUGCGCAGCUCCUCUCUGCACUAUCUAUCAGAACGUUGCUCUGCGUGCUUGAAAGUUUCGCCAAACAGAAGUACACAAAAACAAACAGAGGCGAAACACAAAUCCCCUCAGCCCUGGAGGAAAAGGCCUUGAAGCUCUUCCAGUGCAGAGGCCACGCAGAGGACAUGCUCCUACCUGUGCACAUCGGCCACGCCUGGGGUGCCUCCUGGAGUCCAGGCUGCUGGCGAUGGAAUCCAUCAUGUUGCUGAUGUCACU